rnacentral:rRNA from 1 species
AGAUUGAACGCUGGCGGCAUGCUUUACACAUGCAAGUCGAACGGCAGCGCGGGGCAACCUGGCGGCGAGUGGCGAACGGGUGAGUAGUAUAUCGGAACGUACCCAAGAGUGGGGGAUAACGUAGCGAAAGUUACGCUAAUACCGCAUACGAUCUAAGGAUGAAAGCAGGGGACCGCAAGGCCUUGUGCUCCUGGAGCGGCCGAUAUCUGAUUAGCUAGUUGGUAGGGGUAAGGCCC